AUGGCUUUUGCCCCAAUGCUUCAUAACACCAAGACACUACAAUUAAAUAGAAAUAAAGGGAGGGGUCCGGGGUCCGUCCGCACCGUUCCUGCUUCAGUCCACUUUGGCAGGAUUAAACUUGUGCUGCUUCUUUUUAUACUGUUCCAGUUUCCCACUCCUUAUCUGCUUGCAACUUUCAACCAAUCCCAUGCCAGCUCCAUCCC